ensembl:snRNA U1 U1 spliceosomal RNA
UUACUUACCUGGCAGGGGAGACACCAUGAUCAGGCAGGUGGUUUUCCCAGGGCGAGGCUCAUCCCUUGCACUCCGGGUGUGCUGACCCCUGCGAUUUCUCCAAAUGCGGGAAACUUUUUGUUUUUUUUUUUCAAUGCUAGACCUUGUACUAACAAACAAAGAAGGUCUAGU